GGCCUCAAAUCAGGUAGGACUACCCGCUGAACUUAAGCAUAUCAAUAAGCGGAGGAAAAGAAACUAACAAGGAUUCCCCUAGUAACGGCGAGUGAAGCGGGAAGAGCUCAAAUUUGAAAUCUGGUGGACUUUGUUCAUCCGAGUUGUAAUCUAGAGAAGUGUUUUCCGUGCCGGCCAAUGUACAAGUCCCUUGGAACAGGGCGUCAUAGAGGGUGAGAAUCCCGUACUUGACAUUGAUCACCGGCGCUCUGUGAUACAUUUUCAAAGAGUCGAGUUGUUUGGGAAUGCAGCUCAAAAUGGGUGGUAAAUUCCAUCUAAAGCUAAAUAUUGGCGAGAGACCGAUAGCGAACAAGUACCGUGAGGGAAAGAUGAAAAGCACUUUGGAAAGA
rnacentral:rRNA from 1 species